GACCCGAUUCCCUCUCAUGCCAGUCAUACCCAACCUCAUGCCAUGUCAUGGCCCUCAAAAGAUCGGCACUUACUGACCACUGACGUGUCAUUCUGAGUGCACCGCAGAUUCAGAGCAACAUCAACGGCCGGGCGGCCGGGCGUGUGGUUGUUAGACAGAGGAACAAAGCAGAGCAUCUCCGCUAAUGCCUUUCGAGGACGAAUUAGAACAAGCCACAAGGGGCCGCUCCUAAACGGUGGCUCCGAAAGGUGGUUGAUUAGCAGUGUAGGCCGGGCUGUGCUUUGCGGCUGGUUUGUUUAGGUUUUUGGCUGACAUGAUCUCGCUUUGGAUGCAUCACUAACUAGACCACUUGCUCGCUCCACCGGAGACCAGUAACCAGUUUACAUCAUGCUGCGCCACAAUUACGGGAAACAGAAAAUCUAAUGCAAAUUGUGGUACUGGAAGAAUUAUAAUAAUCUGUAAUUAGAUGACAGCUGUUGUUAAGGAUCCUGUCUCUUUGCCACCUCUAGUUCUAGUCCAGAGUUCAGACAAGGUACUGAUGAAACAGUUGCGGUUGUGUUGUUGAAUUUGGAGGUCAUCAAAUGGAUAAAAUUUCAGCAGGAGGAUCAGGGGAAUGGAUGGGGGAAAGAAACGCACCUGAGCUUGUGGAUGUUGAAAUGGUCUUCGAGAUAGCCAGGGUAGAGCUCCAUUAUAGCAUGCCUGGCUUGAUCCUCCACAGUAAUGGUAUUGCUUGAAUUGAUCACCUCAUAUCUAUCAGAUGGAAAAACAGGAAUUUCAUUUACCAAAACAGGGGAGGUGAAUAUUUUUUUUAUAUUUAGCUGUAUGUAUGGUCGGAAGGUGUGCGGUUGCUAAGGUUGUCUGUCUAGUGUUGCAUGAACAUGGAGGAAGAUAUGGUCUUAGAAAA